rnacentral:misc_RNA from 1 species
GAUGAAGAACGUAGCGAAAUGCGAUAAGUAAUGUGAAUUGCAGAAUUCAGUGAAUCAUCGAAUCUUUGAACGCACAUUGCGCCCUCUGGUAUUCCGGGGGGCAUGCCUGUUCGAGCGUCAUUACAUCCCUCAAGCUUUGCUUGGUAUUGGACAUUGCCAGUUUCUGGCAGGUCUUAAAAUCAGUGGCGGUGCCAUUUGGCUUCAAGCGUAGUAAUUCUUCUCGCUUUGGAGAUCCAAGUGGUUACUUGCCAAUAACCCCCAAUUUUUUCAGGUUGACCUCGGAUCAGGUAGGGAUACCCGCUGAACUUAAGCAUAUCAAUAAGCGGAGGA